rnacentral:rRNA from 1 species
AUUGAACGCUGGCGGCAGGCCUAACACAUGUAAGUCGAGCGGAUGAGGGGUGCUUGCACCCCGAUUCAGCGGCGGACGGGUGAGUAAUGCCUAGGAAUCUGCCCGAUAGUGGGGGACAACGUUUCGAAAGGAACGCUAAUACCGCAUACGUCCUACGGGAGAAAGUGGGGGCUCUUCGGACCCCACGCUAUCGGAUGAGCCUAGGUCGGAUUAGCUAGGUGGUGGGGUAAAGGCGCACCAAGGCGACGAUCCGUAACUGGUCUGAGAGGAUGAUCAGUCACACUGGAACUGAGACACGGUCCAGACUCCUACGGGAGGCAGCAGUGGGGAAUAUUGGACAAUGGGCGAAAGCCUGAUCCAGCCAUGCCGCGUGUGUGAAGAAGGUCUUCGGAUUGUAAAGCACUUUAAGUCGGGAGGAAGGGCUGUAGGUUAAUACCUUGCAGCCUUGACGUUACUGACAGAAUAAGCACCGGCUAACUUCGUGCCAGCAGCCGCGGUAACAC